CGUCUUGCAGUUUGCAUUUGCUGGUUGCCAGUGAGUGUUGGGCUGCUACACUAAAGGUGCGUGUACGGCCUCACGUAGUGCACGAUGAUGGGAGUUUCAUCCACUGCCAGCAAACUUCUGCUGUGUAUAAGUAUUUGUCUUUGUCCCUUGGCGUUUGGAGAGAGUGUAUCCGAAAACGUUAACACGACCACAGAGUAUUUCAUUAGCAACUUUUGCUCAGCUCAAUCAAAGGGUUCUGGAAAUGAGAAGAAUUCUGAAGUAUUUACCUCAAUUCUCCGACCGUUUUCUACGUUGUUCUUCUGUGCGGUAAAGGGGAGGUUUUCACCAUUGAUGUCAAAUAACGUGAACAAGUCCUCCCUUACACCUAUACCGCGCUUUGUGCUUACUGUUCUCCGGCUGUGUUUGAAAAUGUUCCUCAACAAAAUGCCUGUUGAUCCGCUCAUUUGUGACAAGCCAGCGGGUCGCAUAGGGAUGCUUCGUACUCUGGUCCAUGCCUUCCCUACCAUCCUGGCCCGGGGCUGGCUGCGUGUCGGUGUGGUCUCUGAUAAGGUGUGCCGUGCAGAGGAAUACGGAAGGAGCGAGAUCGCUUUGGAGAGGAAUUCUAGGAAAUUUUCAAAUGUCGCGAUCUCAUGCAAAGGCCUAAGGGGAACACGGAGAGACAUCGUCCGCAAAUUGAUAGUUCUCUUGCGCUUGGUGAUUGUGAACGAGUUACAACGUUCAAUAGAAUCGUCUGAUUUAUUUUCAACUCUUUUCCGCUUCAUAUUUCCUAUUUUCAAUAUUCUAAUUCCUUGCCUCGUUUCCUCAGCUGUUUAGCAUUCCCAUAAUUAUUGAAACUAGAAUACACUUGGUUUUCAUCAUACGUGUCUUCACCAGUACCCAUCAUAAAGAUCACGAUUUACUUUCACUUAUCUACAAGUUGGGGUCUUGUUGCUGGUAUACAUCAGGCUGGUCAGAGAUGGAAUAUGAUGGAGGUGGAACUACCUCAAUGAUGAACCAGUCGAACGUUGCCGCGUCUCCUUGACAGUUUGUUCCUUUCAUUUUGUGGCUUUUCUUUUCAGUUGCUUGGCAUAUUCUAUUGGAUUUCAAAUUUAUCUUGGACCGCGACCAUGUCAUUCUUCAACCUUUAUAGUAUUUUCGCUUUUCCUUAGUUUGACGGACAUGAACCACAGCUUUUCAUAGUUUUUCUAAAUUUUCAUGCUCAGUUCGGUCACCCCAAGUGUACCGUGUUUGUUUCCCAUGCUGUAUCAGUUGUUGAGAGUUUCAUGUAUGUCAUGCUGAUUUAUACGCAGCACACAAGAAAGGCUUUAGUCACACCUAUUUUGCUAGCCGAACGGGUUGUUAUUUUUACCUAUAGUCACAAAUGUUAUGUUCCAAAACGAUGUUCUGAUUUCACAUCUA